rnacentral:rRNA from 1 species
GACGAACGCUGGCGGCGUGCUUAACACAUGCAAGUCGAACGGUAAGGCUCUUCGGAGUACACGAGUGGCGAACGGGUGAGUAACACGUGAGCAACCUGCCCUUGACUCUGGGAUAACAGCUGGAAACAGCUGCUAAUACCGGAUACGACCUCGAUCGGCAUCGAUCAAGGUGGAAAGUUUCGGCGGUCAAGGAUGGGCUCGCGGCCUAUCAGCUAGUUGGUGAGGUAACGGCUCACCAAGGCGUCGACGGGUAGCCGGCCUGAGAGGGCGACCGGCCACACUGGGACUGAGAUACGGCCCAGACUCCUACGGGAGGCAGCAGUGGGGAAUAUUGCGCAAUGGGCGAAAGCCUGACGCAGCAACGCCGCGUGCGGGAUGACGGCCUUCGGGUUGUAAACCGCUUUCAGCAGGGACGAAGCAACUCGUGACGGUACCUGCAGAAGAAGCACCGGCCAACUACGUGCUAGCAGCCGCGGUGAUACGUAAGGUGCGAGCGUUGUCCGGAAAUUAUGGGCGUAAGAGCUUGUAGGCGGUCUGUCGCGUCGAAAGUGAAAACUCAGGGCUCAACCCUGAGCCUGCUCUCGAUACGGGCAGACUAGAGGGAAGUAGGGGAGAACGGAAUUCUUGGUGGAGCGGUGGAAUGCGCAGAUAUCAGGAGGAACACCGGUGGCGAAGGCGGUUCUCUGGACUUUUCCUGACGCUGAGAAGCGAAAGCGUGGGUAGCAAACAGGCUUAGAUACCCUGGUAGUCCACGCCGUAAACGGUGGGUACUAGGUGUGGGGGACAUUCCACGUUCUCCGUGCCGUAGCUAACGCAUUAAGUACCCCGCCUGGGGAGUACGGCCGCAAGGCUAAAACUCAAAGGAACUGACGGGGCCCCGCACAAGCGGCGGAGCAUGCGGAUUAAUUCGAUGCAACGCGAAGAACCUUACCUGGGUUUGACAUAUGCCGGAAACGCCUAGAGAUAGGCGCCCCCUUGUGGUCGGUAUACAGGUGGUGCAUGGCUGUCGUCAGCUCGUGUCGUGAGAUGUUGGGUUAAGUCCCGCAACGAGCGCAACCCUCGUCCUAUGUUGCCAGCGGGUAAUGCCGGGGACUCAUAGGAGACUGCCGGGGUCAACUCGGAGGAAGGUGGGGAUGAUGUCAAGUCUUCAUGCCCCUUAUGUCCAGGGCUUCACGCAUGCUACAAUGGCCGGUACAAAGGGCUGCUAUCCCGCAAGGGUGAGCGAAUCCCAAAAAGCCGGUCUCAGUUCGGAUUGGGGUCUGCAACUCGACCCCAUGAAGUCGGAGUCGCUAGUAAUCGCAGAUCAGCAACGCUGCGGUGAAUACGUUCCCGGG